GUUUUAACAAAUUUCAGGCAAAAUUCCGACUUUUUAACAAUUUCACCUAAAAUUUAUAUGUAUUUUGUUAACAAGCUUAUAAACGAGGGGCGGGACAAUAGUAAAAAAUUAAAUAAUUUAAUUAAUUAACUGCCGAAAUUGAUUAAUUAACGAUUGUUUUCGAUCAAAACAUCGCCACCUCUUUUUGCACCACAUUGAUUUGACAGUCUGACGGUUUGACAUUGCGCACGAUUGUUGUUGUGUUUGGUGCAAUUUGUUUGUCGCCGAAAAGUCGGUCUAAUGGGAGAAUGCAUUCUCCCGGUGGUGGCGGUUCAUGGUAAGAUCACUCCGGUGGACAUUCCGGCGGCGGAGAAGGCUGGUUCUACAACCACAACCAAGGUGGUUGCCACAAAAAUCGCAACGGAGUUGGCGGUGGUGGACACCCGGAUCAGCAGCAGGAUAUGUUUCUCCAGAUAAGCGUUUGAUUGCGGCGGGAGAUUGUGACUUCGAAUCAAUUGCCACCCAAAGAGUUUCCGAGAAGGAGGGCAGCCAUCCUGUCGGCAAACCUGGUUCGAUGAUCACUUCAACGAUGAUGUUUCGCAGCAGCAGCACCACCACCACUACCAGUAAAGGAGGGGUAACUGGAACAAUGGUCCUCGGGUGGUCCUAGAAUUUUCGUGAUAACCGUCAGCCGAAGAACGACCCUGACGGUCAACGGGGUUGGAUAUGGAAGAGGACAGUCUGCUCCGAAAACGCGCCAACAAGCCGAACGACCUUCUGCUGGACGAGUGCUGCAUCCUCCCGAACCGGGUGCGCAUCGCCCAGUUGCAGUCAGGCAUCAGUCGGUAGUUAAAGGUACUUAACGACCGCUCAAAUAUCGCAUCACGGUGGCCAGAAUAUGGUGAAUGAAAUUGCUUUGAAAUAUAAACUAGGGUUUAAAACAA